UGUAGCUCAGUUGGUAGAGCAUUUGCCUUGAAUGCACAAGGCCCUGGGUUUGAUCCCCAGCA
rnacentral:tRNA from 1 species